AUACAUACAUACACAUACAAAUCAAAUAUAGAUAUAACAUGAUUUAAUGACUUAAACCAUUUCUCUCCCUCGCUUAGAGCCAGCCUGGGACAGAGGCAAUUAAUAGUCAGGCUAUGCGCCUAAUUUUGGAGGGCAGCUCCAGGGCCAGGAGUACUUAUUUCUUAAAAAAAAACAUUCAAAAAAGGAGCCAGUGCCGUCUUCGGGCCCUACUUGCUGGGAGAGUGCCACUGGACCCUCUUUCAUUGCAACUUGAAAGAGGGAACUAUUACCUAAAUUGACUCCUUGGAGAAGCAACCACAGCGUUGCUUCCAAAUUAUCGAAAAUUGGAGCUUAUUUGCUGCUAGCAGAGGCUGCCAAGGGCCGUGGAAGAUGAUUAACAGGGACCAUGACUUACAAAAUGACUCUGUGUCAUGUGGAGUGUUCUCAAUAAUGUUUGCAGAAAUGGUCCUCCAGGGACAGCAAUGGCACCUCCAAUGCCUCCCCAUCUCUCAAGAGCGGGAGAGACUUGGGACUUUGUUGUUUAACUCCCUUGGUAAGUAGUAGGCAUUUGUACGGUAUGGGUGCUCCUUAUUGAGCUCUGCUGGCUACCUGUAGCUGCC